rnacentral:rRNA from 1 species
CAGCAGCCGCGGGAAUACGAAGGGGGCUAGCGUUGUUCGGAAUUACUGGGCGUAAAGCGCACGUAGGCGGAUAUUUAAGUCAGGGGUGAAAUCCCGCAGCUCAACUGCGGAACUGCCUUUGAUACUGGGUAUCUUGAGUAUGGAAGAGGUUAGUGGAAUUGCGUGUGUAGAGGUGAAAUUCGUAGAUAUUCGCAGGAACACCAGUGGCGAAGGCGGCUAACUGGUCCAUAACUGACGCUGAGGUGCGAAAGCGUGGGGAGCAAACAGGAUUAGAUACCCCCGUAGUCCCUGUCUCUUAUAC